GAGGGUAUAGCUCAGUGGUAGGGUACGUUCAUAACAUGUGCAAAGUCCUGGGUUCAAUCCCCAGUACCUCCA
rnacentral:tRNA from 1 species